ensembl:lncRNA
CGGGUUUUGAGAGCUGCCACAAGCGCGGGGAGGGAGAAGAGCGCGCGGCAGCCACAGAGCACUAGGUUCAUAACCAGGAUUGGUCGCAAGUAGGGAGCUUUUGCCACUCCGCUGGGACCUUCGGACGCUGGCUGUGUUGCAAGCCCAGUUCUCCUAAGCGCUGUGCCGGGCGUCUUGGAUUCAUAUUGUGUUGUCGGCACUUCUCCCAGGUGGAUUUCAGCUAGAGCUCACUUGGAAAUGUCUGCAGCUUGGUGUGAGAGAAUAGGAUUCUUCUUGCUGAACUAAAGGAAGCAACCUUCAUACGUUCCUACUGAAAAGAAAGGCUUUGACAGUUCCUGACUUGCUGAUGAGUGAAGCAGAAAGAUUCACUGGUAAAAGUUGGCUGUGACCUAACAAGGGAUUUUUGACACAGAGUAAAUCCAUAGUAUAUGCCUCUCCGAACUGUCCUGAAAGAGAUCUUGAGAGAUCGUGAACUGAACCUGGCAAUUUCUUUCUGAAAUCAACUCAUGAAGUCUUUGUUUGAAUUCCAUUAUGAAUCUACAAUGUCAUGACUCCACAGAUAGCAAGAAUUGUCUAAACAUACAGCAGAAAAUAAAGGAAGACCUUAGCAUAUGUGAAACCACUGAAUGACUCUGCUAAACUUCCACUUGUCUAAAACAUUCCAUCAUUAUUUUUGUGUUAUUGGUUUUAGAAAAAAAUUGAUUCAUAAGCUUUAUUUCCAUUUAAAUUAUUAUUCAAUUUAAUAAGGAUUCAUUUAUUUCCUUUGUAGUUCUCUAUAUUCAAUUUCUUGUGAAGGUCAUUAAUCAUUAUUUUUCUGUGCAUUUUUCGUAUCCUUUUACUAUGCCAUCUGUCUAUUUUUUAGCAUUUCCCCCAUAGACAGUUUGUAGUGUUAUAUGCUGAGCUCAUUUGUGGCACAUUUGUUUCUUUUCAUUGUUCCUGUGCUUUGUAUUUAUUGCCCAAAGCAUAAUCGUGCUUUUGCUUUUGUUACUGAUUUAAGAUCUAGA